CAGCAGCCGCGGUAAUACCGGCGGCCCGAGUGGCGGUCACUAUUAUUGGGCUUAAAGCGUCCGUAGCCGGGUUGGUUAGUCUCCCGGGAAAUCUGGCCGCUUAACGGUCAGAAUUCCGGGAGAUACUGCCAGCCUAGGGACCGGGAGAGGCCGAGGGGAUUCCCGGGGUAGGGGUGAAAUCCUAUAAUCCCGGGAGGACCACCUGUGGCGGAGGCGCUCGGCUGGAACGGGUCCGACGGUGAGGGACGAAGGCCAGGGGAGCAAACCGGAUUAGAUACCCGGGUAGUCCUGGCUGUAAACGAUGCGGACUUUGUGUCGGACAAGCUAUGAGCUUGUCCGGUGCCGGAGGGAAACCGUUAAGUCCGCCGCCUGGGGAGUACGGCCGCAAGGCUGAAACUUAAAGGAAUUGGCGGG
rnacentral:rRNA from 1 species